UUAAGUAAGUUUUACUCUGAGUAGACCCAUUGAAAUUAUUGGACCUAAUGGUCAUUUUUAAUUAUUUCAAUGGGUCUACUCAGAGUAAAACUUAUUUAAA